rnacentral:rRNA from 1 species
AUGCAGUCGAACGGCAGCACGGAGCUUGCUCUGGUGGCGAGUGGCGAACGGGUGAGUAAUAUAUCGGAACGUACCCUAGAGUGGGGGAUAACGUAGCGAAAGUUACGCUAAUACCGCAUACGAUCUAAGGAUGAAAGUGGGGGAUUCGCAAGAACCUCAUGCUCGUGGAGCGGCCGAUAUCUGAUUAGCUAGUUGGUAGGGUAAAAGCCUACCAAGGCAUCGAUCAGUAGCUGGUCUGAGAGGACGACCAGCCACACUGGAACUGAGACACGGUCCAGACUCCUACGGGAGGCAGCAGUGGGGAAUUUUGGACAAUGGGCGAAAGCCUGAUCCAGCAAUGCCGCGUGAGUGAAGAAGGCCUUCGGGUUGUAAAGCUCUUUUGUCAGGGAAGAAACGGUGAGAGCUAAUAUCUCUUGCUAAUGACGGUACCUGAAGAAUAAGCACCGGCUAACUACGUGCCAGCAGCCGCGGUAAUACGUAGGGUGCAAGCGUUAAUCGGAAUUACUGGGCGUAAAGCGUGCGCAGGCGGUUUUGUAAGUCUGAUGUGAAAUCCCCGGGCUCAACCUGGGAAUUGCAUUGGAGACUGCAAGGCUAGAAUCUGGCAGAGGGGGGUAGAAUUCCACGUGUAGCAGUGAAAUGCGUAGAUAUGUGGAGGAACACCGAUGGCGAAGGCAGCCCCCUGGGUCAAGAUUGACGCUCAUGCACGAAAGCGUG